rnacentral:rRNA from 1 species
AGCAGUAGCCGCGGUAAUACGAAGGGUGCAAGCGUUAAUCGGAAUUACUGGGCGUAAAGCGUGCGUAGGCGGUGAGUUAAGUCUGCUGUGAAAGCCCUGGGCUCAACCUGGGAAUUGCAGUGGAUACUGGAUCACUAGAGUGUGGUAGAGGAUAGUGGAAUUUCCGGUGUAGCAGUGAAAUGCGUAGAGAUCGGAAGGAACAUCUGUGGCGAAGGCGACUAUCUGGGCCAACACUGACACUGAGGCACGAAAGCGUGGGGAGCAAACAGGAUUAGAUACCCGAGUAGUCCCUGUCUCUUAUAC